rnacentral:rRNA from 1 species
UUAUGCUCAGGAUGAACGCUAGCUACAGGCUUAACACAUGCAAGUCGUGGGGCAUCAUGGGAUCCGCUUGCGGAUUCUGAUGGCGACCGGCGCACGGGUGAGUAACGCGUAUCCGACCUGCCUGCCACUGGGGUAUAACCUUGCGAAAGUAAGACUAAUCCCCCAUAGUUUCCCAUGGUUUCCUGAUUAUGGGAAUAAAGGCAUAUGCCGGUGACAGAUGGGGAUGCGUCCGAUUAGCUUGACGGCGGGGUAACGGCCCACCGUGGCUACGAUCGGUAGGGGUUCUGAGAGGAAGGUCCCCCACAUCGGAACUGAGACACGGUCCAAACUCCUACGGGAGGCAGCAGUGAGGAAUAUUGGUCAAUGGGCGCGAGCCUGAACCAGCCAAGUAGCGUGAGGGAAGACUGCCCUAUGGGUUGUAAACCUCUUUUAUACGGGGAUAAAGUGUGCCACGUGUGGUGUUUUGCAGGUACCGUAUGAAUAAGGACCGGCUAAUUCCGUGCCAGCAGCCGCGGUAAUACGGAAGGUCCGGGCGUUAUCCGGAUUUAUUGGGUUUAAAGGGAGCGUAGGCCGCCUUUUAAGCGUGUUGUGAAAUGUAGGGGCUCAACCUCUGCACUGCAGCGCGAACUGGAGGGCUUGAGUACACGCAAAGCAGGCGGAAUUCGUGGUGUAGCGGUGAAAUGCUUAGAUAUCACGAAGAACUCCGAUUGCGAAGGCAGCUUGCUGGAGUGUAACUGACGCUGAAGCUCGAAAGCGCGGGUAUCGAACAGGAUUAGAUACCCUGGUAGUCCGCGCGGUAAACGAUGGAUGCCCGCUGUGUGCCGAUACGGUAUGCGGCCGAGCGAAAGCGUUAAGCAUCCCACCUGGGGAGUACGCCGGCAACGGUGCAACUCAAAUGAAUUGACGGA